GCACUCACUGUCUUACGGUCCCGAAGCGCUUUAAGGUGCGCAGUCCGCAGGCCUUGCCUACUGAUCUUCCAGCCACCCCUUGAAGGAAGCAGUUGCAGACGCUGAGCACAGUGCCAAACCUAUAUAGAAACUCAUUUGGGAUAUGGAGGAGAAUAUGCCACCAGUUCUCCAAAGUGGAGGGGUGAAGCCAUGCCUCCCUUUCCCUCACCUGUGUAAACUGGGUAUGAAGACAGAGGACACCAGGAAAGAAGCCAGAGAAAGAGGAACAGUGAUGAAGCCAACCAUCAUACCAGUUGAUUCUAAGUGCUGGGAGCCUCUGUCUACACUUACUCUCCACCUCGCUCAGGCUCCAUAGGCAUGGUGUCUACCUGCUGGCCCAUCCUGGGAAGUCAUCCCAACGUGACAGAAUGGAAAAGAGAGGGCAUGGAAGACUAGUUCAUAGGUAAGGGCAAGAGGGACCUCGCAGAUGGUAAGGUGCUCUGUGGAGAAUCAGUUUGUCCAACUGAUAAACAGAAAACAGUACAAAGAAAUGUGCUAUCACAGAACGAUCUUAAGCACUGGAACCAGUCAGUCCCAGAUUCAAAUCCAGCUCUACCCUUCUCUAGGGAUGGUUUUCUUAUUCUCCAUCUCCUCCCCCUUAAAAUGGGGAUGAUAAUACCUCCUCAUGAGAGGCUGUGAGUAGCUGAUGGGAUAAUUUGUGUAAAUUGGCUAAUAAAGUAUCUGGUAAACAGUAGGGUCCCAAUACAGGAAGCUUGAGAUGGUAUUAAAUCACUGGUCAGGCAAUAGAUGCUCGAGACAGUAUGACAGCCACUAGCCACAUGUGGUUAUUUAAUUUAAAAUUCACUUCCUCAGUUGCACUAGCCACAGGCCAAAUGCGCAAUAGCCACAUGUGGCUAGUGGCUACCAUGGCGGAAAGCAUAGAUAUGGAACAUUUCCAACACCACAGAAAUAGCACUGCUAUUAGCACACCACAGGAUAGCACUGCUCUGGGGUUCUGAAUAAGAGAUACUCCCUGGGUCCAGCAGCACGGAUACUGGUCUGGAACUGCUCCCCUGACCAUAUCAGAGGUAUGUGCCUGUGACUGAAUCAGCUGGUGCUUCACUAGAGACUGUGUCAGACUAUAUGGGCUCCCAAUUCUUUCCUUUGCCUCCCAUUCAGUGCUCACCAGUACUAGAGUGGAUCUUGAUGCUGAUCACCACAAACCCAGGCCUCCCAGCAGAUUCUUUUUUUUUUUUUUUUUUUUUUUUUUGAGAUGAAGUCUCGGUCUGUCACCCAGGCUGGAGUACAGUAGUGGUGUGAUCUCGGCUCACUGCAACCUCUGCCUCCCAGGUUCAAGCUAUUCUUCUGCCUCAGCCUCCUGAGUAUCUGGGAUUACAGGCAUGUGCCACCACACUUGGCUAAUUUUUGUAUUAUUAAUAGAGACAUGGUUUUGCCACAUUGGCCAGGCUGGUCUCGAACUCCUGACCUCAAGUGAUCUGCCCGCCUUAGCCUCCCAAAGUGCUGGGAUUACAGGCGCGAGCCACUACACCUGGCCACAGAUUUUUUAGACCCCUCCUACAGCCAGACUUCUCCCACCAUCUAACUAACCCCUCUCCCUUACCUCCCUGCUCACAAUGCUUAUCCCUCUCCAGCAAAGAGUCUCUGCUCUGGAAGACAUUAUCUCUUCCUGUUCCCUCUACAAUACCUAACCAUCCUAUUCCUUUCUAUGCAUUUGCGUAUUUUCGUUAUUCACAUUGCAGAUGCAUUCCUCAUUUUUCUCUUCCAGCCACACUAUGCUCAGCUUUCCAUUCCAGCUCAAAUUUUUCUUCCCAAAAGCUCUUCCUUGUAAGCCCCGUUCCUGGUGAGUUCCUGGUCCAAGGGGACUGUUCUCCUCAGUUCAUUUACAGCCGUCACUGAAUUGCUCUGCUAAUACUUUAAAGCGUGUUCAGCUUUCCUCACCUGGCUGGGUACCUGCUGAGGAAGAUGUCCCUUCAAUGUUUGGUUGGAGUCUUUUGAAGCAGAACAGACCUAAGACAAAGCUGUGAAAGAGGGCCCCAAAUUAUACCCAGUAUCUCCUCCUUUUACCACUCAUUCUUCCAGAGUUCUCUCCUACCAUAUGUAAAGUGCUCAACAAAGGUUUGCUAUUUUUUUCUUUCUUUUUGAAACAGAGACAGGGUCUUGCUCUGCUUAUCCAGGCAGGAAUGCAAUGGCAUGAACAUAGCUCACUGCAACCUCGAAAUCCUGGGCUCAAGUGAUCCUCCCACCUCAGCCUACUGAGUAACUGGGACUAUAUGCGCGUGGCAUCAUGCUCAGCCAAUUUUUUAAAAUUUUUAGAGGCAGGGUCUUGCUAUGUUGCCCAAGCUGGUCUCGAACUCCUGGAUUUGAACGACCCUCUCAUGUCAGCCUCCCAAAGUGCUGGUAUUACAGGUGUGAGUCGCCAUGCCUAGCCAAGGUUUGCUACUAUUAUUCCUUCUCUCCAACCUUCUCCCUGUAUUCUUUCUGAACUCCCUUUCCCUAUCAAAGCCCCAUUUCAGGCCUGGUGUGGGGAAAUGCAGCACCAGGUGAGCAUGUGUUGGUGGGGAGGAUUUGGGGAGACACAUCCCCACUGCUUACUCUACCUGUGCUGGGAACUGCACAAAGAAUGGGGGUGAAGUGGGUGAGAGGCCAGUUGGGAACCCAAAAGCUGUCCUCUACAAUUCUUUUUGAAGGCUAGGGAGAUCCCACUCCUACUUCAGGCCAUGCAUUGGAACCAAAGUUGAGGUGGGGGAGAGUGGUGGCUGCACAGAUACCAUAGACAAGCCAAGACCUCCCUGCCUCGCCCUGUCCUGGCAUGAAGGCACAGGUCUGUAACUACAGCAGCUUUUCCCAGUACCAUCUGACAUUUCUUCUGAAUUUGCUUUAGCGCCUAGCAGAGCACUCCAUAAACUCUCCUAAAGUAGGUAGGAAGGGUAGGAUGGGGUAUGGGAUAUGAGGGUCAGAGGGUCAGACCAGAAAGGGUGGAUUAUUAUAAAACAAGUAGUCCUAAGAUUCUGAGGAUGGGCAGGUGUACCCUAAAAGGGAAGCAGUGGGAUUCCCAAGUAAAUACUUCAUCUACUUCACAAGUUUGCCCAAGCCCAGCUCAGGAACAGUAACAAAUGGAAAUGAGCAGGGAUGCCGGCUGUGGACAAGCAGACCCCCUAGGUAGAGUCCACCCCACCUUCCCAUUACCACAGGAAUUAUUACCUUACCACCCAUAGGGGAGGGGGUAAUUGUGGGCAAAUUUGAUGGGCCCAGUGGGACAGUCAGAAACAGCCUGCCUAGAGCCCUAAUGUACCCACCCACAUAGCUGUGACAUCCUCAGCCCAGCCAGGCUAGCCCAGGAUAUAUGGUGUGUGUAGCGCACUCUGCUAUUUUCCUCUCCUUGAAUGUCCUUGAGGACCCAGUUCAGGUGCCUCUGCUGGGACACUCCCUGUGACACUACCAGCCUUCUCUGAUCUACUCUUUCUCUUGACUCCUAAGACUUACUGUCAGGCUCUCUGGUCACCUGAUCAAUCCCAGGCUUGUGAUACCUCAUAUGCUACCUUGUACCAUUAUUUAACUUUUAGUUCAUGUGUAUAAUUUUCCUACUGAAGCAGUAGGAGCUUGAGGCCAUGGCUCCUAAAGCUUUGAAACCCAUGCAGCAACUGAAAUAGAGCUCAGCAUUCAUUCAUUCACUCACUCACUCAAUAGUUAUUGAGCACCUCCAACAUGCGAAGCACCGUGCUAGGUGCUGGGGAUUUGGCAGUGAACCAGAGAUGAAUUCUACAUUGAAGCCACUUAGUAAAUAUUUGUUAAACAGAUAGACGAGUGGAUGGAGACAUGGAUGCAUUAGUAGUGAGUGGAUAAUGUCUCUAUCUGUGGCAUCCCUUCUGCUCUAUGUUACCUCAGAGAAAAAUCUCACUUCUUUACUCUCCGUGAUCCCACAACUGUUCUGGAUGGGGGAAGUCCCAGGAAGUUUAGUCUCAAGUGGAGAGUAGGGAGAGAGGAAACUAAAUUCAGAGGGGUAGUACCCACUUAAAGGCAUCCAUAUGAUGAGUGCUGGGGCCAGAAGAGACUGGAACCAAUGAGUCAUAGGGUCUCAGGGUCUUCAGACAUCAUAUGGGGCUGCUACAGGGAUCUUUUCAGAGCAUCCCCUUCAACAGAUGUUCCUCAGCCUCCAUGCUAACUCUCAAUGAUGGGGCACCUGACACAGGCAUUCCACUGCUUGCCCCUGGUGAUUUCCCUCAUUCUCACCUCUAAGUAACAUCCAAAAUAAAACCAGCCCAGCCUUGGGCCAUGAUAUCCUAACCCACAGCAUGUGCACAUGUACCCACAUCUGCAUAUCUGCUCUACCUCCAGAUCAAAAUAGCAACCAGGGAGAUUGGCAGAGCCUGGAGUACCAGGCUGUCUUCCCAGUUUGGGACUGGCUGAGGCACUGUGACUUCAGUGAGAGUCUGGGCCCAUCCUCAGUCUAGAAAAAGCUUAUGCAAGGAUGAGGGUAGCCUAGAGAAAGUCCAGAAAACCACACAAAUGACCACCUGUUGAUUCCAAGGCGGAGACAGAGCACUUUCUCCUUUUAAAAACAGUAUCCUCUCCUCUCACUCAAGCUUAGCCUGCUCAACUGAACAGCCAGGAAAAGCUGCUGGUGUUUGGUGAUUUGAAGGGAAGGGGGUCUGAACCUCAGAAGCUUGUCACUUACUGGGGACCCUGAUGAGUUUCUCUCUGUUGUCCUGCCUUAUCCCUAAUCUAGCUCCCUGAUCAUUUGAAUGUAACCCUAAUUGGACAAGAAUUUUCUCCCUUUCAGUAUGGACAAAAUCAACAACCAUGAAUCAGAGACUUUUAGAGGAUGGGUAGUGAAGUGGGGGAAGAACAGAACAUUGUAGAGUGAGGGGCAGAGAGGCAGGCAGUGGGCAUGGGUAGGUUCUGGUUUUGUGAUUAGUAAUAUUAUCUCUUUAAUUGAAAAAAAUAAACUCAUUUCAGAUUCGUAUAAUUUCACUAAGUGUACAGUUUUUUCAUGCAGGUUGGUUCACGUGGUCUUCAAACUGUCCUCUCUCAUCUGGGGCCCAGUGAGGAUACCUCAGGAAAGAGCAAGUAGCUAGUGUAAAGCCAGGAUCCAGGUCUUCAAACUCCCAGUCCAGUGCUCUCUAACUACCCACUGUGUUCUCUAAGCACUUGAGGGAGGAAUCCAUGCCUUAGUCAUUAUUGUACCUCCCCCAACUCCACCUCAGCACUUAGUUCAGCAUGAAGCAUGCAUCCAGUAUAUAACCGUGGAGCGGAAGGAGCUGAAAUGUACAUGAUCCAGGGAGGAAAUCAGCAGUGGGAAUGCAGAUGCUCUGAGGCUUUGGGCAUGGGAGCAGCAGAAGAGAGCAAGGCUGAGUAGUGGGCAGGGAGGGUACAGACACAGUUGCAAUAAGGAAAGGGUGGGCAAUGCAACAGUGGGCAGGUGUUGCCUGCCCUUGGAUUCACUAUGCUGGGGCCAAGCAGCUGGUUAGAAACAAAAACAAACACCAGGGAUACAGGUUCCUGCUGUUAACAGCUUCAAACCGCCAGAGGAAAACUCCAAAUAAAUAUAAUUAGAAACUUGUAAAAACGUCCUCUCUGUAAACCUGCUCCCCAGGGUCUACCCUUCAAGCACUCCCCUUCCCCAGCCCUCCCCCCAAUGCCCACAUAUCCUGAUACUCCCCACUUUCAGAGGGAUUCCUUAGAUGUGUUUCCUUAUCCUGGAUCUUCCCUCCAGCCCUGCAGCCCCUGCCCAGGUCUUUCCUCAGCUUGUUACCACCAGUGACCAGACCUGAAGAGCCCCUGGUGUAGGCUCAGAAAUCCAAACCCCACAGCUCUCUAGGGCUAUGGUUAUAACCACAGGGAAAACCAGAGGUAAGAGCAAGGACCACUGUGCCCUAUAUAGGGGUCAUCAUCCCAUUUGUUCAGCCAAAGCACAGCAUCUAACAGCAACUACAAAGCAGUGCUUGAUCUGCAGGGGGACAUGUCUAGGCUAGGGCAGAAUACAGACAGCUAGUCUCAGAGCUAGAAACACGGAAUCCUGGGGCCCAGAUCCAAGAAUAUUCAGUUCCCAUAACACGGAUAUUUCAGCUCCACUUCCCAACUUUGUUGGAUACACACAUAUAGAAACACACAUGUGUUCUUCAGGGGCUAUUUCCAGGGAUAAAUACCCACUUCAUGGACACAGUAAGAACUAUCAGCUACUUGGGGUUCCAGGAAACUGGGGUGGGGGAAGAAAGGAAGAGUAUCCAGAUGACCUAGCCUCAGGCAGGCAGAAGUGGACCAGCAUCCAAGGAGGAGAGCGCCUGAGAUUUGGGUGAGUAACCUGUGGAGGCCCGGCGCCUUCUGCCUUCAGCAGGAAGGAUUUCAGUGAGAUGUGCAGAAUCUCAGGGCUGCAGGGAACCCUACUGAUAUUUUACAAGUGAGAAGAGGGAUUUCAGUGAUUUCCUCCGAGGCUCAAAUCCUUAGGCUCUGCAUUUGUCUAAACCCACUGGCACCAUAUACCUCUAUAUCCCCGGUGCCACUUGAGGCUGGCAUUGGGUGGGCAUAGGAACAGGAGAGUAGCCAGUCCAAUGUUAAGUGGCCAGUGGGGGAGGGGAGUCUCUGUCCCCUCUUAGCCCAGGUGACUAGCUCCUGUACCCCCUAGACAUCCCUGGGUUGGCCGUUGUUUCGCUUCUAUACCCAAGGCCCAGCAGUCCUUCUGUUUCCAGACUCCAGUCUUCUGAGCCUGAAGAAGCUGUCCCCAGGUCUGGGCCUCUUGCAGGCACUGCCAGCCUCAGAGCAGCUCUGCAGUUUCCAGCCCUGACAGGGACUCUUUCUUAUAAGUGGUCAUGUGCUAGGGAUACGGGAUGUCAAAGGAGGCCCACACCCUGACAUUUGGGGACCAGAGCUGGGGGAAAGGACUGAGUGAGUUCAGGCAGCAAGCUCUUCCAGCUCCAUCUUCUCAAAAGGUCUGAAGCCCUUCGUUCCCUUCCCCUGUCCUCAGUUCAAGGCACUGGACCAAGCCAUUCCACUUCUUUACUUCUCCAACUAAAACAAAAUGCAUAUUGCCCCACUUCCUUUUUCCUCUCACCAGAGCACUUCACACACACACACACCCUGAGUCAUGCACACACAUUCACACGUGUGUGAAUGCACACUUCACAUUCCCAAACUCACACCCAGGGCCGGCUCCUCUUACAACAGGUCCCAGCUGCUCACAUCUCAAACCGGUUCUCAUGCUCUCAGAUUCCUGAAGGUUUCAAAAAACAAUCUCAUUUGAGGGCUGCUGAUGACUGUCUUCUUUCUCUGCCU
rnacentral:lncRNA from 10 species